rnacentral:rRNA from 1 species
CCCGACUGCUAUUUGGGUGAGAAUAAGCCAUGCGAGUUGAAUGGAAUACCUAAAUUUUCCAUGGCAAACUGCUCAGUAACACAUGAUCAACUUACCCUAUAGAGAAAAAUAACCUCGGGAAACUGAGGAUAAUGUUUCAUAGUUGAAAAGGCUUGGAAAAGUUUUUCAAUUAAAGGGAUAAGAAAAAUGGUUCUUAUCUGCUAUAGGAUAGGAUCGUGGUCGAUUAUGGUUGUUGGUGAGGUAAUGGCUCACCAAGCCGAUAAUCGAUAGGGGCCGUGAGAGCGGGAGCCCCGAGAUGGGUACUGAGACAACGACCCAGGCCUUACGAGGCGCAGCAGGCGCGAAACCUCCGCAAUACACGAAAGUGUGACGGGGUUACCCAAAGUGUUCAAUUUUGAACUGUGGUAGGUGAGUAAUGUUCCCUACUAGAAAGGAGAGGGCAAGGCUGGUGCCAGCCGCCGCGGUAAAACCAGCUCUUCAAGUGGUCGGGAUAAUAUUGGGCUUAAAGUGUCCGUAGCCGGUUUAGUAAGUUCCUGGUAAAAUCGGGUAGCUUAACUAUCUGUAUGCUAGGAAUACUGCUAUACUAGAGGGCGGGAGAGGUCUGAGGUACUACAGGGGUAGGGGUGAAAUCUUAUAAUCCUUGUAGGACCACCAGUGGCGAAGGCGUCAGACUGGAACGUGCCUGACGGUGAGGGACGAAAGCCAGGGGAGCGAACCGGAUUAGAUACCCGGGUAGUCCUGGCCGUAAACGAUGCAUACUAGGUGAUGGCACGGCCAUGAGCCGUGUCAGUGCCGAAGGGAAACCGUUAAGUGUGCCGCCUGGGAAGUACGGUCGCAAGGCUAAAACUUAAAGGAAUUGGCGGGGGAGCACCACAAGGGGUGAAGCCUGCGGUUCA